rnacentral:rRNA from 1 species
UACAGAGGUCCCAAGCGUUGUUCGGAUUCAUUGGGCGUAAAGGGUGUGUAGGUGGCGCUGUAAGUCGGGUGUGAAAUCUCGGGGCUUAACUCCGAAACUGCAUUCGAUACUGCGGUGCUUGAGGACUGGAGAGGAGACUGGAAUUCAUGGUGUAGCAGUGAAAUGCGUAGAGAUCAUGAGGAAGACCAGUGGCGAAGGCGGGUCUCUGGACAGUUCCUGACACUGAGACACGAAGGCCAGGGGAGCAAACGGG